GACGAACGCUGGCGGCAUGCCUAAUACAUGCAAGUCGAGCGAAUGAUGAAGAAGCUUGCUUCUUCUGAUUUAGCGGCGGACGGGUGAGUAACACGUGGGCAACCUGCCCUGUAGAUUGGGAUAACUCCGGGAAACCGGGGCUAAUACCAAAUAAUCCAUUUCCUCUUAUGGGGAGAUGUUAAAAGACGGUUUCGGCUGUCACUACAGGAUGGGCCCGCGGCGCAUUAGCUAGUUGGUGAGGUAACGGCCCACCAAGGCAAUGAUGGGUAGCCGGCCUGAGAGGGUGAACGGCCACAAGGGGACUGAGACACGGCCCUU
rnacentral:rRNA from 1 species